rnacentral:rRNA from 1 species
GAUGAACGCUGGCGGCGUGCCUAAUACAUGCAAGUCGAGCGAACAGAUAAGGAGCUUGCUCCUUUGACGUUAGCGGCGGACGGGUGAGUAACACGUGGGUAACCUACCUAUAAGACUGGGAUAACUUCGGGAAACCGGAGCUAAUACCGGAUAACAUUUGGAACCGCAUGGUUCUAAAGUGAAAGAUGGUUUUGCUAUCACUUAUAGAUGGACCCGCGCCGUAUUAGCUAGUUGGUAAGGUAACGGCUUACCAAGGCAACGAUACGUAGCCGACCUGAGAGGGUGAUCGGCCGCACUGGAACUGAGACACGGUCCAGACUCCUACGGGAGGCAGCAGUAGGGAAUCUUCCGCAAUGGGCGAAAGCCUGACGGAGCAACGCCGCGUGAGUGAUGAAGGGUUUCGGCUCGUAAAACUCUGUUAUUAGGGAAGAACAAACGUGUAAGUAACUGUGCACGUCUUGACGGUACCUAAUCAGAAAGCCACGGCUAACUACGUG